rnacentral:lncRNA from 1 species
AGAAUUAAGGUUUGGAUCCGAGAAUUUAAUUUAUUUCAAACAUAGUGUCUCAUCAUUUUUAUAUAAAUUAAAUAACUAAACCAUCAUAGUUACCAGAAACUGAUCAAUCCAAUAAAUUAUUGGACAACCUUUUUAAUCAAAGUUCUAUUUAGAUAAAGUUUGAUUUAAAAAUGAUUUGGAAGUAAAUCCUAUCAAACCAUGUUAAAUUAAUUACUUCAAAUUUGAUUUGAGUUGAGUUUUAUUUUAAACUGAUUUAAAUAUUGGUUUAAAUAUUGAUGUGGGCGUGCUAGAAAAAACAUGGUUAAGUAUUUUUUAAUUUUUUUUUAUCUAAAAUGAUAUUAUUUGGAUUGAAACUGUAAAUUUAUUAUUUUAACAUGUAAGAUUCAGUUAUGAACUUAUCCAAGUAAGUUGUCGUACGUGUAGACGUGUUACUGAGCUGUCGACUUUAUUUUUUUUCUUACCUCUCCCGUGAGUCGUUUGUUUUAUGUUGUUUUGGCAGAUUAGAGAAGUUAGACCGAAGGUGACGCUAGUGGUUAGAAUGGCAGCAUCGGUUGCGAACUAUGAUUAUAUAGUUGAUUGGGAGUUCCAAACUGAUGGACUAAUCAGAAUCAAGGUUAGUGGCCACUUUCAAUGUCUUUCUUUCCUGGGAUGAGGACAUCCUAUUUCCUGUUCUUUGAAAUAAUAUUGUAAACACAAGUAGUCCACUUUAGAAUUUUCAACAUAUAUUAGGGAUAAACAUCUUUCAGUGGUCGGAGUUUUUCUUGAUCAUCAUGCCUACCACUAGUUGGAGGAUGUCACGUUUGAACUUCUAUUUGCCAUUAUGCAAUCAUAACAACUGCUAAGUAUGUAAUUGGGCACAGGUUGGACUCAGUGGUAUUUUGAUGGUGAAAGGCACCUCUUACGUGAACACGAACCAAGUUCCGGGUCAACAAAAUCUCUAUGGCACACUUUUGUCAGAAAACGUAAUCGGCGUUAUACAUGACCACUACGUCACAUUUUACCUUGACAUGGACAUAGAUGGCUCUGAUAAUUCCUUUGUUAAUGUAAACAUUCAAAAGCAACGGACCUCUCCCGGAGAAUCACCGCGGAGGAGCUACUUAAAAGCUAUAAGAAAUGUGGCAAAGACAGAAAAGGAUGCACAGAUUCAGCUCAAACUUUAUGACCCAUCCGAGUUCCAUGUGGUUAACCCGAUGAAAAGGACUCGGGUUGGAAACCCCGUUGGGUACAAGCUGGUUCCCGGUGCCACGGCUGCUAGCUUGCUAGAUCAUGACGAUCCUCCCCAAAAACGUGGUGCCUUUACAAAUAACCAGAUAUGGGUCACUCCAUAUAACCAGAGCGAGCAAUGGGCUGGUGGGUUAUUUGUUUACCAGAGUCAAGGUGAAGACACUCUUGCAGUGUGGUCUGAGAGGUAUGGAUUUCCACUCAAAUAAAAAAUCAAAAUAUUACUCUCGCAAUUAACUUUUGUCAUCCUUGGAAAUCUCCAGUUUUCCAACAUUUCCACUUGAAUCGAUUUUCUAAUUGAAUCAAGGAAAAAAAAUGUCAUGGGCUUGAAUCUUAAUUGGAGCAAGUCAUUUCGCCUUCGCCUUGAGGGAAUUUGAUCUCGAAUGUUAUGUGGGCUCGAGUCCCAGGCUCGUUAAUGUAAAGUUUUUUUUUUUUUUUUAAAUUUACUACUCAAUUCAUAACCAGAACGCAUUGAAUCCUUUUAUAAUAUCUCGUGACAGAACUAAUCUGAUUAAAUAUUUCAAUUUCUAACAACUUGUGGAUUUCUUUUUUCAGGGAUCGUCCAAUUGAGAACAAGGACAUUGUAUUGUGGUACACAUUAGGCUUCCAUCACGUACCGUGCCAAGAGGACUUCCCUAUAAUGCCAACCGUAUCAUCGAGUUUUGAUCUGAAGCCCGUCAAUUUCUUUGAGAGCAACCCAAUUCUUCGGAUCCCACCUAACGUUGAAAAAGAUUUGCCUGUUUGCAAGCCUGCUGCUUCAGCUUGAACAGCCAAUUGUAGCUCUUCCAUCUGCAUAUAUAUGCAGUAGCAGAGUAAAAACCUGGAGAUCAAUAAUGUAGAUGAAUGCUUCAGAAAAACACGAAAAAAAAAAGCAGAAAAAAAGAGAGACGGCGAUGGAUUAAUCACUGUUUUAUGACCACUUUAUGGCUACGAUCGAGGCCAGGUCAGAUGGUAUUGCACAAAACACUAAGCAUUUCUGUGUAGCAAUUUUAAUGUGCACUCUUUUAUGAAUCAACGUGGAUUAAAAUAGUUAGAUUUUUCUUAAAAUUUCAAUUCGAUUAUCAAGAAUUUUUUUUGGAAAAUGAAUUCAUUUUGGAAAAUGAAUUCCGGGGAAAGUGAAUUCCGAGAAAGUAUUUUUCGAUGUUUGGUAGUGUUAUAGAAAACACUUUCUAGUGUUUGGUUGUGUUAUGAAAAAUGAAUUGGAAAAUAAUUUAUUAAUAAAUUAAUUUUUUUUCAAAUUUAUCUAAUAUAUAUAAAAUAUUUAAUCACUUACAAUAAAAAAAAUAAAAUGUAUAAUGAUGAAUUUUUUUUAUAUUAUAUUCUAUAUUCAUACAUAGCUUAUUUUAUAAAAUAUAACUAUAUAUAUCAUAUUAUAAAGAAAUAAGCUUGUGAAAUAUUUUUUACUAUUCUAUGAAACCAUUUAUAAUUUCAUUACGUACGAAAUACAUCCGACAAAAAUUAUAGUUUUAAUAAUAUUUUUAGCAUGUAAUAAAAUUGGAUAAAAUAUUAAGGUAUAAAAUUCACUCUCAACUAUUUUUUUUUAAUGCUAAAAAAAUAGCACACUUAUAUUUAAUAAUAAUAAUAAAAAAAACGGAACAGUGCACUAAAACUGCAUUGUUCACUCUUUUUUAGUGAACAAUGUAUGCAAUACACUAUUCAUGUUAAUUGCACUGUUUCAUGAACAGUGCAAUUAACAUGAACAGUUACAGAAAAACACGCAGCAUUGGCUCAGGAAAGUGUUUUUCGAGAAUUAAAAACGGAAAACACUUUCCUUAUGUUAAACUUAACAUUUUCCUUUGACUGGAAUUACAUUUUCUUUGACUCACUUUCCAUGUAUUACCAAACAUGGGAAAGUGAGGAAAAUGGUUUCCAGAAAAGUGAAUUUCUAGAAACAAACAAGGCCUAACUAACUAAACCAUUAUAGUUAUCAGAAACUGAUCAAUCCAAUAAAUUAUUGGAUAACCUUUUUAAUCAAAGUUCUAUUUAGAUAAAGUUUGAUUUAAAAAUGAUUUGGAAGUAAAUCCUAUCAAACCAUGUUAAAUUAAUUACUUGAAAUUUAAUUUGAGUUGAGUUUUAUU